GCCUCGGUAGCUUAACCAAAGCAUCAUCCUUGUAAAUUGAAGACUGUAACCUGGCCGUUACCCGAGGCU
rnacentral:tRNA from 1 species